rnacentral:rRNA from 1 species
UACGGAGGGAGCUAGCGUUGUUCGGAAAUACUGGGCGUAAAGCGCACGUAGGCGGCGCAGCAAGUCAGGGGUGAAAUCCCGGGGCUCAACCCCGGAACUGCCCUUGAAACUGCAGUGCUAGAAUUCUGGAGAGGCGAGUGGAAUUCCGAGUGUAGAGGUGAAAUUCGUAGAUAUUCGGAAGAACACCAGUGGCGAAGGCGACUCGCUGGACAGACAUUGACGCUGAGGUGCGAAAGCGUGGGGGAGCAAACAGGG